rnacentral:rRNA from 1 species
AUUGAACGCUGGCGGCAGGCCUAACACAUGCAAGUCGAGCGGCAGCGGGAAAGUAGCUUGCUACUUUUGCCGGCGAGCGGCGGACGGGUGAGUAAUGCCUGGGAAAUUGCCCAGUCGAGGGGGAUAACAGUUGGAAACGACUGCUAAUACCGAAUACGCUCUACGGGGGAAAGCAGGGGACCUUCGGGCCUUGCGCGAUUGGAUAUGCCCAGGUGGGAUUAGCUAGUUGGUGAGGUAAUGGCUCACCAAGGCGACGAUCCCUAACUUGUCUGAGAGGAUGAUCAGCCACACUGGAACUGAGACACGGUCCAGACUCCUACGGGAGGCAGCAGUGGGGAAUAUUGCACAAUGGGGGAAACCCUGAUGCAGCCAUGCCGCGUGUGUGAAGAAGGCCUUCGGGUUGUAAAGCACUUUCAGCGAGGAGGAAAGGUUGAUGCCUAAUACGUAUCAACUGUGACGUUACUCGCAGAAGAAGCACCGGCUAACUCCGUGCCAGCCGCCGCAGUAACAC